CUGAAGAUGUAUGUUCUAGCGGCGGACGGGUGAGUAACGACGUGAGCAACCUGUCCUUCACAGGGGAGUAACACAGCGAAAGUUGUACUAAUACCGCAUAAGACCACGUUGGGACAUCCCAAAGGGGUCAAAGGAGCAAUCCGGUGAAGGGUGGGCUCGCGUCCGAUUAGAUAGUUGGUGAGGUAACGGCCCACCAAGUCGACGAUCGGUAGCCGACCUGAGAGGGUGAUCGGCCACAUUGGGACUGAGACACGGCCCAAACUCCUACGGGAGGCAGCAGUGGGGAAUAUUGGGCAAUGGGGGAAACCCUGACCCAGCAGCGCCGCGUGAGGGAAGAAGGUUUUCGGAUCGUAAACCUCUGUCCCAGGUGAAGAGCAAGAGACGGUAACCUGGGAGGAAGCCCCGGCUAACUACGUGCCAGCAGCAGC
rnacentral:rRNA from 1 species